GACGUAGGGGGCCAGCGUUGUUCGGAAUUACUGGGUGUAAAGGGUUCGUAGGCGGUGUGGCAAGUCGGGAGUGAAAUCUCUGGGCUUAACUCAGAGGCUGCUUCCGAAACUGCUGUGCUAGAGUGCGGGAGAGGCGCGUGGAAUUGCAGGUGUAGCGGUGAAAUGCGUAGAUAUCUGCAGGAACACCCGUGGCGAAAGCGGCGAGCUGGAUCACUACUGACGCUGAGGAACGAAAGCUAGGGGAGCAAACAGG
rnacentral:rRNA from 1 species